rnacentral:rRNA from 1 species
AUGCCGUGCACACGAAUUGGACUCGUUUCCCCUCAACAAAUAAAGGCUUAGACUUACAAAAACCUACCUAAUGGAGAGUUGGGCGAAGUCACAAGGCCAUCUACUUUUCAUUAUAAAAUUGAUAAACCAAAAAAAGAUGGAUUGUUUUGUGAAAGAAUCUUUGGAACCAUAAAAAGGGGCAUUUGCGCUUGUGGGUGUUGUGCGACUCGACCCGCGCAAUGUUGUAGCUAA